GGGUUUUUUCUAUCCUCCACAGAAUCAGAAGACAUUACAGAAUUCACUAUAUUCCCUACAAAAGAAACUUUUGUAUUUUGUCAAGAUGAUACUAUAACAAUGAGAUGGAGAGUUCUACUUCCAGUUAUUAAUUACCCAAGCAUAUUUCAUAUAACUAAUCAACUUUAAAUGGAAUGGUCUGCAUAAAGCUGACAAGAUCUAUCUUUCAUUCCCUCAUAACUCUGGGAUUUACAGGAUCAGAUGCUGCCAUACACAUUCCACAGCCAUGACUUCCAGCCCCUGCGCUUGAUGAGUUCCUUAUCCAUUGAUACUUCAUGCAAGCAAGAGGAAAUGUGAGGAACAACUCAGUAUGAUAUCUUCUUUCAGGAUAAAGUUACCAAAUUAAACAUAAAUGGUAAAUGAUCAUGUUUUUCUUUUGGUUUUAAUGACCAGUGCUUAAUCCAAGAAACCUGC
rnacentral:lncRNA from 10 species